AAUGACUGAUUGCCCGGUUCAACGUCAGUUCACCGUCUCACCUCAUACUGUAUUGGAGCAGCAGCAGCUGACUUGAUCGUUGAUGCAUGUUUUGCAUGUUUUGAAUCUGAGAGUAAAUAGAGCCGAAUACAACUCUAAAAAUGAAGGGUUCAACUGGAGUUGUUGUCAGAUCCCCUAAGAACAGUAGGGUUCUUGGUCAAUGAAAAACAGCCCCAAAAGGUUCUUCAAAGAGCUUGUUAGAAGGUGGGUUCAUCGAGGAACCUCCGUUGUUGCUGGACUUCUUCCGGGAACUUCGCAAUUACAACUGAAAACGAUGGUGACAAGUUUGGAUGCGACAACAAGUUAAAAAGGACAGAACAUGGACACAAUGCAAUUGGGAUCAAGAAGAAGGUUCAGAUAUGUUGUAGGACAGCUGCAUUUGAAGUGAACAUUUAACCUACAUAGCAGUCAAAACAAACUGACAUCUAUUAGCAUACAAAUGUGUGCAAAUGAUCUUUUCAGAUCUUCUCAGAAAUUAAUCAAGUCCACGGAAUGGAUAUAGACAAAAAUAUAAUUCAAGGACUAGCAGAGGUAGAGAGGCGAGGCAGGGGUGAGGACAUCAUCCUGCUAUUUUGACAGUCCCUGAAGGACAAUACAGAAGAGGACUGGAGACCACAGCAGCGAUUCUGCUCUUGUCCUACCUCUUCAAUGAGGACCCGAGUGGCCUUUAUGUCCGUGACAAGAUUUCACCGCUCUUCAAUUCUUUACUGCACAUCGGCGGAAAUCCAUUUCACCAUGAGAGUGAAAUCCCGCUGGCCUUUGAUGGGGAGAACAUCCACGCCCUCGAGGACGUCCCCAUGGGACUUGGGGCUCUGCUAGU